GGAAUAUUGGUCAAUGGAGGCAACUCUGAACCAGCCAUGCCGCGUGCAGGAAGACAGCCCUCUGGGUCGUAAACUGCUUUUCUUCGGGAAUAAACCUUAUUACGUGUAAUAAGCUGAAUGUACCGAAGGAAUAAGGAUCGGCUAACUCCGUGCCAGCAGCCGCGGUAAUACGGAGGAUCCAAGCGUUAUCCGGAUUUAUUGGGUUUAAAGGGUGCGUAGGCGGCGUGUUGAGUCAGGGGUGAAAGACGGUGGCUCAACCAUCGCAGUGCCCUUGAUACUGAUGGGCUUGAAGGAACUAGAGGUAGGCGUAAUGUGACAAGUAGCGGUGAAAUGCAUAGAUAUGUCACAGAACACCGAUUGCGAAGGCAGCUUACUAUGGUUUUAUUGACGCUGAGGCACGAAAGCGUGGGGAUCAAAC
rnacentral:rRNA from 1 species